rnacentral:rRNA from 1 species
UGUCUCAAAGAUUAAGCCAUGCAUGUCUAAGUAUAAACAUCUUUAUACAGUGAAACUGCGUACAGCUCAUUAUAUCAGUUAUUAUUUAUUUGAUGGUACCUUACUACAUGGAUACCCGUAGUAAUUCUAGAGCUAAUACGUGCGUAAAGUCCCGACUUUUUGGAAGGGAUGUAUUUAUUAGAUUAAAAACCAAUGCAGGCAACUGCUCCUUUGGUGAUUCAUAGUAACUUUAACGGAUCGCACGGCUUCACGCUGGCGACAGUUCAUUCAAAUUUCUGCCCUAUCAGCUUUCGACGGUACUUUAUUGGACUACCGUGGCAUUAACGGGUGACGGAGAAUUAGGGUUCGAUUCCGGAGAGGGAGCCUGAGAAACGGCUACCACAUCCAAGGAAGGCAGCAGGCGCGCAAAUUACCCAAUCUCGAUACGAGGAGGUAGUGACAAUAAAUAAC